rnacentral:rRNA from 1 species
ACGCUCGACACCUACGGUAGGCAGCAGUAGGGAAUCUUCCACAAUGGGCGCAAGCCUGAUGGAGCAACACCGCGUGAGUGAAGAAGGGUUUCGGCUCGUAAAGCUCUGUUGUUGGAGAAGAACGUGCGUGAGAGUAACUGUUCACGCAGUGACGGUAUCCAACCAGAAAGUCACGGCUAACUACGUGCCAGCACGCCGCGGUAAUCUGAGGCGGGCGUGGCGAAGGC